CUUUAUAAAAAAAAUAACUAGCUUUUUGGUUUUGGCUAUUUUAUAUUGACAGAAUAGCAUAAGGAAUAUAUUGCCAGAAAGAGGAAGAAAAGAUCUCAUGAACCAUCAAGGGGUUUUACUCUUGAAGCAGAUAUCUUGGAAAGUGGGAGAUCUUUCCUUGUGUGUUUUGAAGAGAUUUAGGAAGAGAGUGUCAGCUAAGAAGCAUAAUGACAAAAAAAAAAUUAAUUAUUCGGAUUUGCUAAGGACAAAGAAAGAUUUCUUUCUCAGUCAAUUUACAGUGAGUCAGUCUGCCAGGGCCAAGAAUUAGCACUACGUGAAAAGAAAUCCAAGUGGGUAAUUAACAGCAGUAACAGCAAUAACAGAGAUGGGAGCGCAAAACACCAGAAACAUAAAUGUUCUUCACAUGGUGUCUUUGUUCCGACUGGAUUUAAAAUGAGACCAGUGCACUUUUUCUUCAGAAACUCAAAACGAAUCAUUUACCUUUGUCACAUAACUCACUCCAACCUUACUCUCAAGUCUUAAUCCUAGGCAUGUUGA
rnacentral:lncRNA from 1 species